rnacentral:rRNA from 1 species
CACGUAGGGUGCGAGCGUUGUCCGGAAUUAUUGGGCGUAAAGAGCGUGUAGGCGGCCAAGCAGGUCCGCUGUGAAAACUCGAGGCUCAACCUCGAGACGUCGGUGGAAACCGUUUGGCUAGAGUCCGGAAGAGGAGAGUGGAAUUCCGUGGUGUAGCGGUGAAAUGCGUAGAUAUCUGGAGGAACACCGGUGGCGAAGGCGGCGUCCUGGACCAACACUGACACUGAUGAGCGAAAGCCAGGGGAGCAAACGGG